rnacentral:rRNA from 1 species
GAUGAACGCUGGCGGCGUGCCUAAUACAUGCCAGUCGAGCGAAGCGGGCACGGGUGAGUCACACGUGGAUAACCUCCUAUACUACUGGGAUAACUUCGGGAAACCAGCGCUAAACCGGAUCCUUAUUGAUGGCUCCGCGCUGCAUUAGCUAGUUGGUAAGGUAACGGCUUACCAAGGCAACGAUGCAUAGCCGACCUGAGAGGGGGGGCGGCCACACUGGAACUGAGACACGUGCCAGACACCUCCGGGAGGAAGCAGUAGGGAAGCGAACGGAAUGGGAGGAAGGCUGACGGAGCAACGCCGCGUGAGUGAUGAAGGUCUUCGAAUAGUAAGACUCUGUUAUUAGUGAAGCGGUACGUAAACAGAAAGCCACGGCGAACUACGUGGCAGCGGGCGCGGUAAAAC